rnacentral:rRNA from 1 species
CCUACGGGAGGCAGCAGUGGGGAAUUUUGGACAAUGGGGGAAACCCUGAUCCAGCCAUCCCGCGUGUGCGAUGAAGGCCUUCGGGUUGUAAAGCACUUUUGGCAGGAAAGAAACGUCAUGGGCUAAUACCCCGUGAAACUGACGGUACCUGCAGAAUAAGCACCGGCUAACUACGUGCCAGCAGCCGCGGUAAU